rnacentral:rRNA from 1 species
AUUGAACGCUGGCGGCAUGCCUUACACAUGCAAGUCGAACGGUAACAGGUCUUCGGAUGCUGACGAGUGGCGAACGGGUGAGUAAUACAUCGGAACGUGCCCAGUAGUGGGGGAUAACUACUCGAAAGAGUGGCUAAUACCGCAUGAGAUCUACGGAUGAAAGCAGGGGAUCGCAAGACCUUGUGCUACUAGAGCGGCCGAUGGCAGAUUAGGUAGUUGGUGGGAUAAAAGCUUACCAAGCCGACGAUCUGUAGCUGGUCUGAGAGGACGAUCAGCCACGCUGGGACUGAGACACAGCCCUGACUCCUACGGGAGGCAGCAGUGGGGAAUUUUGGACAAUGGGCGAAAGCCUGAUCCAGCAAUGCCGCGUGCAGGAUGAAGGCCUUCGGGUUGUAAACUGCUUUUGUACGGAACGAAAAGCCCCGGGUUAAUACCCUGGGGUCAUGACGGUACCGUAAGAAUAAGCACCGGCUAACUACGUGCCAGCCGCCGCCGUAA